GCAUAAGGAAAUUCUCAUUUACAACUAAUUUGGACUUAAACCAUUGAUUAUGGGUAAAGAAAUAUAAAAUAAGCCUAAGACAAUUUGUACAAAAAAAUUAUUGAACAGGCGUAUAUCAUGAAAUGGAGAUGUCACCAACUGGGCUCCAAAAUUGGGCCCAGGCGCAGGACCAAAGGAGAAACUGAACAAGGGUCCGUCUUGGCUAAGAGUUACGAUUUGGGUCAUCAGCAGGCCCAAUUGCUUCAACGAUCAAAUUCUACACACUAAAAACCAACUAAAAUCACAACAAACUCUCCAUUGAAUUAGAGCAGAAUUUAACAAGAAGGAGACGAUCAAAGCCUAAUACGAUUGGGCUCCAAAUGAACCCAAAACAUGCGAGGUCCAGAUCUGGUCACUCCAGCCUUCUUGAUGGACAUGGCUUGCUGGUUGAUUUAUUUAACAAACAUCUACCAAAGAUUGUUUUGAAGAUGGUGCACAAGAUUGGAAUGCAAAUGCUCAAGGAUAUAAAUUGAUGUUCUUAUUAGGGGGAGUUAAUGGGUCAUCAGCAGGCCCAAUUGCUUCAACGAUCAAAUUCUACACACUAAAAACCAACUAAAAUCACAACAAACUCUCCAUUGAAUUAGAGCAGAAUUUAACAAGAAGGAGACGAUCAAAGCCUAAUACGAUUGGGCUCCAAAUGAACCCAAAACAUGCGAGGUCCAGAUCUGGUCACUCCAGCCUUCUUGAUGGACAUGGCUUGCUGGUGAGGCCUAAAUCAAACACAAACACACAUAAGGCCAUGGAUGAAAUUCAUACUUCUUGAUUCACAGCUAACAACAACAAAACUAUAUGAAGUCCUGGUAGUUAAACUUACAUAAACGAUCAAAUUAUAGGUUUCUUACUCAAACAAAUAUUAUAGUUAAUCUAUUUGAACAUGCUACCAGUAUUCAUGAACUAGUUAAAUCCUGGAUUCCUCCAUAAUUUACAUGCCAUUACUUAUCUAACUAAUAAAUAUAAAAAAGGAUACAAAAUGGAAGUGGCUACAUCAACAACUUUAAGCUAAAUUAGUAUAGAAAGAAAAGAGGAAAUUUUUUGAGCUACUACUGCUCUUAGCUUCAAACGCCAAAGUUGUUUGCCAUUUCACUAUAGGGUCAAAUCCCUGCCAUGCUUCUACUGAUUUCUGAAACAACAAAAAGCAAAACAAACAGAAUAUACAUUAUCAUGGAAUGCAUCUGACCAACUGGUGGUCAGAUUCACAUACCUAAUGUCAUUUUUUGAACGCAAAACUACUACUAUCAGCCGUAAAGUUUACGAGAAUCUGGGAAAAUUUAAGAACAUCUUUAUACUACUAAAGUUCAUACAAGACACAAGAAAGCUGAUAAAGAAACUGAAAACACACUAGUUUCUACCAUUGAAUCAUGCAGUCAUACACACAUAGACAUGAAGAAAUUCAGAUUUGAGCAAACAGAUUCAUUUAAUGACAAGGGUGUGAUUACAUGCCUAGAAAUGAUCCAAAACAACAACAAAAAAAGAAGACCAAAUACAGGUCAUAAACUAGGUGAACUUCAAGAAGAAAUGAGCAGCACCAAUAAGCCAAUAGCAACCGCAAACCAAAUAGACCAGAUAUUCAGAUCAACUCCAAACCAACUUUAAAAAUAGAAUUUUAGCUAAAGAAAUCAGGAAAGAUCCGUUACUUCAAAUCAUGUUUUUUAGCUUGUAAAAACCAAGAAUGAGAAGUUUUGAAUAUUUUUUUCUAAAGUUUCUGAAAUCUGAACUUUUUCUGAGAAAAGGAACUUUGUGA
rnacentral:lncRNA from 1 species